CUGUGAAUAUUCUCACUGUUCUGAAUCUGUAAAAAUUAGGACAGGCUAAACAUUCACUGUAAUAAGAUCAUGCAUGUGUCCCCCCCAGACAUGGUUCUUUUCCUACCUAGGUCUGGUCUUGGAAAUAAUGGUGAUAAAC